AAUGAAGAUCAGUGAAAGCUCAGUGAAGCCAAAGGUCACAGAAAAAUGGUGUGAUUAGAACACAAUAUCCAUUGUAUUCUAAGUGCCUAGGCCUGGGCUGGGUAUUCUGGAGAAUACAGAGGUAAACCAACUUGUGAACUGACCUUCUCUGUUGGUUUCUACUUUGCUGCACUAGUGGGUUUGCGCCUCUAUGACCCCAGGCUUGGCUCUGAUCCUCACUCCGGAUCUUGCUCCUGAUCUCUGGAGUGGUAGAAAUAAUCCAGCCCACACGUUUUAACUUGAAUGGAUUUCUGUAAGUGACUGCAUCUCUUUGAUCUGAGGCUCCUGUCUGCAAGGUAGGUAUAGUCAUAAUAAUUUCACCCAUUGGCCAGGGCUGAUGUUGGAUUAGGUCACCUCCAACACCACCUUGGACUCCCUCACUAGGUGUUGUGCUGGUGUGUGAACAUUAUAACCAAAGACGUGGCAUCCCCCGUCUAUGGGCUCCCCUCCUGGUCUCCACCCCAGCUCCGUUUCCUGUUCACCAUUUUUGGCUCUGAUCUAUGACCUCUGCUAGCAAAGCAGCACAUUUCUAAUUUGGCAGGGGCUGCUGUUCGUGUCCUUUUCUCUGCCCAGGACAAGAACGAUGUAAUUGGAACCACCAAUGGCAGACACAGAAAGAAAACAGGAUUGACAAGCUGGCACCAUGUGAGCCCAUGAGAGCCAAACCAUGGCAAGGGGAUUGCAGAGAGUCAGAUUCUCCACUGAGCCCUGCCCCGGCAGGAAGGCAAGCUCCAGUCAAGGGUGGAACAAGGUGACGCCCACGUUCAGCCAUAGGAAGCUCGCACAUCUCCUGCCACCAGCCACGACAGCCCCCGUCCUGCACAGGCAGGCCCGAAUCUUGGGAAACACAAUGGCUGCCGCCAUCACAGUUAUAGAUAUUCACAGGUCUCAGAGAAGCCCAAAUGCAAUCCUAGCUGACACGAUAACGGAUAUUUAGCAGGGAGUGGAGAGCCCAGGGAAGAAUACUGUGAUGCUGAUGGGGAAUAUUGAUGGGGCCUUCCCUGAUGUGGUCCUGGAUGUUUCUGUACUGAUGGCCUCACUCCCCUGGCUGCUUGGCUCUGUACUGGGAUUUUCAUCUCAGGAUGUGUGAAACCAGCCUGAAGACAGUUCUUGUAAAAAUGUCCUUGAAACCAUGAAAUUGGCGCAAGACCGAUCAGAACUGAGAUAGGAAAGUCACUCAAAGAACUCGAAAGCCUACCAGGCCAGAAAGGGUGGUCUACGACUUAAUUGGUUGUAUCAACCCAUGUAAGCAAGGACUAUGUCCUUCAGAAAUGGAUGAACGAGAAUGGAAAGCUGGAGGAAGGAGAGACAGUCACACAUGGGCAGUGCUCAUCAGGAAGGGCUCUGCUUGGCAACAGUGCGUCUGAUCCACCUGUCAGGUAUAUCCUUAUUUUGAAGGUGAGACUUCCUGGGAUUUUGGAGACUGAUGCUAAACUCUGAGCUCCAAGAAAGCAGGAACAAUGUAUCUAACUUGUUCACAGGGCCUCAUGCAAUGUAGGUAUUUGAUGAGUGUUUGUGGAAUGAACUCAUUGACUCUUUUAACAUUCAAAUCUUUCAUAUAUGCAUAUAAAUACAGAAGUUAUGUAUUGUA
rnacentral:lncRNA from 10 species